rnacentral:rRNA from 1 species
UACGUAGGGGGCGAGCGUUGUCCGGAUUCAUUGGGCGUAAAGAGCUCGUAGGCGGUUCAGUAAGUCGGGUGUGAAAUCUCCGUGCUCAACACGGAGCGGCCACCUGAUACUGCUGCGACUCGAGUCCGGUAGGGGAGUGUGGAAUUCCCGGUGUAGCGGUGAAAUGCGCAGAUAUCGGGAGGAACACCAGUAGCGAAAGGCGGCACUC